GUGCCAGCAGCCGCGGUAAUACGUAGGUGGCAAGCGUUGUCCGGAUUUAUUGGGCGUAAAGCGAGUGCAGGCGGCUCGAUAAGUCUGAUGUGAAAGCCUUCGGCUCAACCGGAGAAUUGCAUCAGAAACUGUCGAGCUUGAGUACAGAAGAGGAGAGUGGAACUCCAUGUGUAGCGGUGAAAUGCGUAGAUAUAUGGAAGAACACCGGUGGCGAAGGCGGCUCUCUGGUCUGUUACUGACGCUGAGGCUCGAAAGCAUGGGUAGCGAACAGGAUUAGAUACCCUGGUAGUCC
rnacentral:rRNA from 1 species